GUCCCUGUAGCGCAAUGUAUAGUGCGUUGGACAUCUAACCCAAUGCUUGUAGGUUCGAAUUCUACCUGGGAUU